CAUCGACACCACUUGUAUAUGAAUUUCGUCACGAAGUGAAAUUUGGCGCGUUGAGGAGAGUUGUCACAACCACACAGUGAAUGGAUUUGUGUGUACGGUAUUUAUUUCGACACAAAUUGAUGUGUCAAACUGAUGCCGCUUGCACAUUCAUAUUGAUCUGAGCAUUUGAAAAAGCAAGUCAAUUGUUUUGAAUAUUGUUCGAUUUAUACUGAUUGUUUUGGUUUCUUUUUUUUUCAAAUUAAGUAAUUUAGUCAAUGUUUUUAGGUAGAAAAUACAUAAUAUCUUAUUAAAUUUCCUCAUAUCGUUUUUUUUUUUUCGUUUGGUGUUUAGACGUGAAUCUCACUCGUUCGUAUAUCGUCGAUUGUACACAAAGCGGCUGACACUCUAACGGGAAAGUGCAACAAACAAAAGUAUUGAGAAAAUGCUUUUUGCUUCGAACAACAGAUUCAAUGGGCAGAAAAAGGAAAAAUCCAAGUAGUUGUUAUCCAAGUAGACAAAUUGAUCGUUGAUCGGAUGCAAAUUAGUUGACGACUCUGGGCGUAAGGCGUAAAUUGUGUUUGCCAUUAAGAACUGGGGAAAUUUAGAAUUUGUAUACGGCGUCGAGUGAACAGAAAAUGAGAAUAAGAAAAGAAUAUAUAACAGAUUGCAAUUGAGAAUCUCAAUUUGAGAUUGCCAAAUUGUACAGUAGAUUCCAAUUUCUUAGUUAGAAACUUGUCAAUUACUUGCUGUCGAGUCGCUAAGUUUAGAGGCCCUAUCAGCAGCGAACGAUCUCGACUUCGUACCGCUUAUUCAUUCGAUCAUCAUCUGUUCUUGGUUGGUUUUGGUAUGCAGUAUGUGUUUUGUUGCGAUGUGUGUAUGCGCACACGUACAUUGCAUUGUGGUCGCCUCCUCGACAAGUUGCCAAAGGUCAUGGCUAAUGUGCUCACAUAGCAACAUAACCGCUCAUUUUAUAUAGUUUAUGCAUCAGAUUCUAAUUGUUCCAUCUCUCUUCUGUUUAUUUUUUUUGUUGUCUUCCAUUAUUUUGUCUACAUGGACACCAACUGAAACGUGCGAUCACAAUCAACUCUCUGUAUAUUUAUAAUAAUGCUCAUUUUUUUUUAUUCGUUAUGAAGCGGCAUGAAAAGGAACGACUCAUUAAUUGUCUGCUUUGUCAUUUAAAUGACAUGACACUAUUUCUGUUUUGUUCUCUUUCAUAAAAUGUUAUGAAAAUGUAUGUUUCUCAUUUGCUACAAAUAUAAAUUAUUUUUUUUUUAUCCAAUUUUAUAUAUUCUUGAUUUAUACACUUUCGCUCCAAUUCAAUGAGUUCUGACAACAGUUGAGUCUCGAUUAUCCGUCAGGCACCGGACCUGCAUGUUGACGGAUAAUUGAAAAAGACUUUUUCUUUAAAAAACGAAAUAUGGUAGAGAAGUGAAAAAAAAAAAAACGUUGCGAUUUAUGAAAAAUCUCCAAAUAAAAAUAAACACAGCAGAUCGUAUAGAAAUGUGUGUUUUUGCUUUUCAAAGUAAACAAUUGAAUGGACGAAAUGGAAUACAGAGAUAAGUAGAGUUUUUUUGUUUCAAUAUGAACAUCGUCAAUUCACUUUGAACCGAAAACGAAAAAAAUAUGCGUAGGCGAACGAUGACGGUUAACAGAAGUGACGGUUAAUAGAGUGACGGAUAAUCGAGACUAUACUAUUAUAUAUAUAAAUAUUAGAUACUAGAUGCAACUAGAUAUUCAUAUUGCUUUUCCAUUUCUUCUGUCACCUAAAAAAAAAAAAUCAGAAGCGUGAAUUUGCUUCUGAGUAUUGUGAGAGUGCAUCCAUUCAGUUAUUGGAUUUCAGAUUUUGGUUGUGUUGAAAUCAUCAUUUAUUUUUAUUGUUCCAAAGGUGAGGGAAACGAUAUACGCAACUGAGUUCAUUGAGCAUUAUUCCUAAAAAAAAAACCUAACGGUAUGAAUCGGAGGAGUAAAAUUGAUGUCUCUUUGAAAUGUAUUUAAUACUAAUAGCUUUAGUUAAUCUAAAAUAGUUGAACUCUCUUGAAUCGUUUUUUGUUUGCUAUAAAUUUGUUUCACACAUUGAAUCGUAUGACUGCAUUCUCUUUGAAAUAUUACGAUUCAUUGCGUGUGUGUGUGUGUGUGUGUGUUGUUUUCAAUCCUCACUAUUGACUUAUUGGAAUUUAUGCGUAGUGCGCUUUUUUUUUUUUAACCUAAAAGCUACAAUUGUUGCCUCAAAUAAAUUAGUUUUCUUGAAAUUAUGUCGUCUAUUUGGUUUCCUACUUAAUCAGUUGAUAGAUUUAUAUCGAUUAAGUUUCUAUGUACUUUUGUAACUUCUUUUUAUAUGGCGCAUUUCAAUGUAUAUAUACUAUAUAUAUUUUAAUUUAAUUUUAAUAAAAAAAAUUUGUUAAUUCGAUCAUUUGUUCUAUGUAA